GGGCUGACGGGGAGGCGGCGGCAGAGUAAAGCGGGCUGGAAAAGACCAACUCUGAUGCUGCGUGGAGCAAAAACAGAGGAAGCCCGAUGAAUAAUGAUGCGUGAAUUUUGCGAGAAAAAUGAGGGAGAAAAAAGCGAUGUGUUGACAGCAUGGAGAGAUUAAAUUAGCAGCUGCAGCGCCGGGAACAUUGAAUCAUAUUAAGGAUCAGCAGCAGAGGAGCGGAGGAAGAGGAGAGGCUGUACCUGCAGGCCUCUGCUUUCAGGAACCCGGUACCGCAAAACAUCAGGACAUCCACUAAAUAGCCCACAGAAAACCUCUCAUCCAGGGCAGGGAAGUUUAAACAAAUACGCUUUAUUCUUAUUUCGAUUCUUAUGAAAACACCUGGAGAAUGAAAACGUUAAAACAGCCUGAAAAUCACUUAAAACGCGACAGAAACAGCGAAGCUGCAGUAAAUUAAAAUCACGCCUGAACGACAGAUAUCCGAAAUAUCGUUUUAUUUAACCUCUUGAAAGAUCGAAUUACGCACUGCAUAUGAAUGACUCGGUCUGAAUGAAACGAACCUGAAAAGUUCUGAAUGGAUGGCACUGCUGUCCCUCCUGCGGUCCCGCAGUGACGCUGUCACAGCGUGACGGUGGUCUUAAAGGGUGGCACGACAGGAGCCCGCAGGAACACCGAGUCCAGACUUUCCACACAGUUUCAUUUCAGCGUUGCUUCAUUUGAAUUUUCUAAUAUUUAUCCAGCUGACAGAAAUUAUUAGAUCUAAGCCAGAAAACGAGGUUUCACACAGCUGCGCUGUUCAGCAUCAGGGUUCUAACAUAUGGUUUGAUGGGCCUGAAUUAAUCACUUGUUGCACACUAGUUAAAAUCAGCAGCCUGUUUUCUCCACAAUACUUCGGAAACAGCUCCGGUGUAUUUUUAACAUCACGGAAUUCAGUCAAAAUAAGAACAAAAAAAGAAAAAAACAAGAACGAAACUUUAAACAUAAAAACAUCUCAUUUUCGUCCCUAAAGCACAGCCUGGAUGUUUCAGUGUGAGCGGAGUCUUCCUCUGCUCAGUCCACCGCGCACUUUUUUUCAACCCUGUGCAGCUAAAUGGAGCGCUUACUGAAUGUGUCCAAAAACAUAUUUAGAAAAGAAAUGAAAAUAAUACUCUCUGCAGAAUGUGCGUUUAAAGCCCUCUCUACAGCUCUGCAUGCAUGUGUGUUUUGAAUCCACGUCUCUUUAAGUCCCGUCUUAACGCAAAAUUCAGUGUGUGUCGUUUAAAAAACUAGUCGAGUUCGUUUUUAUUGAGGACGUAGAAUCCACGCCAAUACUGAAUUCCCGAACAGUUGAUUUGUAAUUUAGAGUCACCGUCGGGAGCCAAUUUACACUCUCCAACUGCACAGCCAUACACGAAAGAACAGCGCUGUGUUGGUUUGUAGCUGAAGUGAAAUGCUGAAGCCAGCUGGGAGUUCGUGGUGGUAAAAACUCAAGCAGAGAGACGGUCAUGGGUUCAAAUCUAAUUUGCCUUGUGCACAACACAAACUUGGGAAAAGCUGCUGAGUAGCAACAGAACUCGCGGCCCAAUGCUUUGCCUAGAAGGGAGCUUGUUACUGCGCACACUCGCUGUGUAACAGGCCUUCCUCCAAGAGUGAAACUGUGAGCUGCGAGGAACAUUGCACACUUCAGAGAAGGCCAGCAGACCUCUUGCUCUUUAUUCUGAAAAUUAUAUUUUGAACUGCAGCUGGCAACAAGCAAGUUUAUUGAUAACCCUAAAUGGAAAGUGGUGCACAGUUGUGCAACCGCAUCAAUUGUUGGCACUUGGCCUAAAGAAUAACAAACUAACAACAUCUCUGAUGACCAUAACGAUGCCGGGAUGAUUCUGGGAAACUGUUCAGUGGAGCUGGACACUGAUCUCACCAAAAACCUGCAGGACUCUUCUUAUAUUCUGCUGCCGGCUGCUGACCCGAUUAGUUAAUACUGUCACAGUCCUGCUGAAUAUUCACAAGUUUUCUUCUCUAAUCACACAUUUCCAAGCAGGAGCUCUGGUCAGAAUCAAGAAAUUUCAAAGUUUGAGCAGUUUAUAUGUCAGGGAGCCAACUGUGUCAUCUUCACUGACUGAAAUCAGGGAGCAGAUUUAGGAGCUCAGUAACAGCACACAUGUUCCUCUGAGUUCAUGUAAACAGAGCUGCUCAAGUUCAGUGAUUCAGAAUUUCUUUCCGUGCACUCCUACGUCACUGCCCACUUGUUAGAAAUCAAUAAUUGUUUACAUUUAAAAAAUUUUAGGGAUUUUGGUGCGUGUGGAACUUUUGUUACACUUCACAUGUGUCUGUGGUGGUGACGGACACUUCCUCUGUAUUAAAAUGUGCACCUCUGAAGAUAUUUAAUAAUGUAAAGUGUUUGCAAAAACAUGAUAAAAUAAAAUGACUUUCAUUU